GGUGUUCUUUAGCUUUUAUUUUCCAUACUUCUAGAGUUCUUUUGCUGAUUCUUUCUCGUAUGGAGCAAUUUUUACCUCUUUGGAGGUAAAACCUUUCGAUUUUCUUUUGUUUCGAUAAUGACAUAUACCGAGUUUAAUAUCUGAGCCCUGAGGUCAUGCUUCUGUGUGAGAACUGACCACACCCUGUAUGGUGAGUCAGUAAAUGUAGUAAAAGGGCAUGUAAACUGACCUCCCUAUCCGUAGGUGUUGCUUGCUGGGAAGAACAAGCUUCAGUGUUGUUUUUGGUUCCUGGGACCUCCUCUAGUUACUCAGAAGAACUCUAGUGUCCCAGAUGGUGGGUGGGGCUCUGGAACUGGCAGAUGUGUCCUUAUUUUACACUUCAGCAGGUCCAGGUAGGGGAGUGAGGCUGGGUGUGACUUGGUUUCGUGAACCUGCACUAAAAUUCCACAGAAGUUUUAGCAGGGGUCAAAUUUCUGCCUUUGGGCACAGCUGCCAGGGAUGGGCUGAAGUAGGGCCUACUCAGCCAGAAAGUCUGUGUGUGGAGGCAGGGCUGUCUGAGACCCUGAAUCAGGUAGUCUGGAACAAACUUCACUUCUUUCCACCCUCCCCUAUUCUGUGGUUUCUUCCAAGCCUCUGCUGGCAGGCAGGACCUCAAGCCAGCCUUGUUGUACUAUGACUGUGAUGGGGACUGGGAGUUUCCCUGUCCAGGAUCCCAGCCAGAGCUGGGAAUGGGGCCCUUCUGGGGGAGGAGGGGUGCCCCCACAUGUACACCAUAGGUGUGAACCCAAACUGCACUCUCUCCCAAUCUGCCCCUGCAGGCAUCCACAGCUCAUGAGAAUUAUUCACAAAUAUCCCAUCUUGCCCCUGGGUUUUGUGAUUGGGACCUGAGUGUACUGGAUCUGACAUGUGGGCCCAUCCUCUGGGCCCUGGAGAUCAAUCCCUGAACAUAGCAGGGAGAAGCAUACUGUUCCCAAGUCCCUCCUGGGAUGCUCAAGCUGGAUCAAUGUCCCUCCACUUCGGGCUGUGUCCCACUCUGCUGAAGUCACCAGCAACAGUACCAGGAAUGGCCAGCAGGCAGUGCACUCACAGUCCAAGCACCUCUUUUUUCUGCUACAGGACCUCCAGAGAAAAGGACCCACUGCACUCAUGUGGCUCCUGCAGUCUGGGCCAGAGUUGAGAAAUGUCUGUGUUGGGAUGAGGAAGAUGGAACCAGAAUGUUUGGGGCACCCUGGUGAAGACAAAGGCAGCAGGCAGGGGAUGGAGAACAGCUUCCUACUUUGUCUGUUGCUACCACUCCAAAGUGAAAAUCAUAAUGCCUACUUUUGCCAGAUGGGAAAUAGAAGAUGAGCUCCUUUGUUGGUGCCAGUAAUACCAGCAGGCAAGAACAUCAAAGCAUGGCUGCUUCUGUUCAGUGGAUAUGAAGUAGAUAAUCUGCUCCCCGAUGGACUCCACUGGAACCAUCCUGGUAUUUCAUUGCAGUUGGUGGUCCUGAUUGGAGGCUUCCGCAGCACUCUCUCCAGAGCAUAUGGGAAGAAAUUGAAGACCCAAGGAACUCAUCAUUGUGUUAUUCCCCACACCACAGGAUUUUUGCGCUUUCAAUGUGGUGAAGUUGAACACUAUAAGUGAGAGAUUGAAGAAAGCACAAGAAAGGCACAAGCAGCAUCUGAAGAAUACAGAGAACUUCACUUAGAAGUCAGAUGGAACUCAGAAUGAAAGAUCUUGAAUCUGAAGUCUCCAACAGGAAAACUUCUUGAGAAGUCUUUCAUUAUAUUGAAUUGGGAAAAUACAGGCACCUCUAUCAAUUAGACUUGGAAGCUAGAAAAUACUUGUCAAACAAAAUUAAAAAUCUUCACAGAACUACUGAGAGACUAGCAGCAUUCAGUAGCAAUCUUUUUGUGGAGACAGGAGACCAGAACUUUCUUUACCACUCAUGGACAGUCCUAUAGUCACCUCCUGGUGGCAAUCUUAAUAAUGGUUUAGGUCUUCACAGAGAAUUUACUUCAAAAGAAUACUCAACGUUCUCUUUUUCCUGCCCAUGGACUUCACAUACCGGCAUGAAGAACAACUUGAGUGAGAACUCCAUGGAAUGCCAAACAUGGUGCCCAUGUCCCCUGAAGAUGUAAGAAGAGCAUCCCAAUCCAAAAUUUGAUUUCACCAAAGAAUCUAUUUCUGGAAAAUCUCAAAAUGUAUUCAACAAUGAAAAGCUAUGAUGCUGCUGGAUACUCUCCUGUGGAAGAGCUUCUUCUCUAGAUUCACUGAUGAGUCAAAUCUAAAUGAAGACAUUCUUUAGAAAGCAUCAUGGAAAUAUGUGCCAAUUUUUUUUAAAAAAAAUAUACAAUGUGAAAGACUUUUAAGUAGGUCUUGCAAAUGAAAGCCAGUUUUACAUCCUCAGACUGCCAAAAUGUUAGCUGUUUAUAAUUUUAAUUUUAAGCACUGAUUUAUAUGACUCUUUCUUCUUGGAGAAAUAAAAUUUGCCUAAGGCU